UGCCAAUAACGGAGUCAAAUGGUGUGCCACCUCACUCUAUGAUAAUAAAGAGGCCAAAACUUACGGAAACUGCAAAUCGGAUUGCAAGGACAACACAAUUGGUCCAACUACAGUUAAACCAUUAGGGAAUCGAUGCAAAACUACUCAAGAAGUAGACUGCAUAUUCCCAUUUAUUUAUGCUGGCGUGACUUAUAACUCAUGCGCGGAUGA
rnacentral:lncRNA from 1 species